AGGGCACCACCAGGAGUGGAGCCUGCGGCUUAAUUUGACUCAACACGGGAAAACUCACCCGGCCCGGACACUGGAAGGAUUGACAGAUUGAGAGCUCUUUCUUGAUUCAGUGGGUGGUGGUGCAUGGCCGUUCUUAGUUGGUGGAGUGAUUUGUCUGGUUAAUUCCGAUAACGAACGAGACUCUAGCCUACUAAAUAGAUCGUCGGCUCACAAACGCCGGCGAGACUUCUUAGAGGGACAGGCGGUGAUUCAACCGCACGAAACAGAGCAAUAACAGGUCUGUGAUGCCCUUAGAUGUCCGGGGCCGCACGCGCGCUACACUGAAGUGAUCAGCGUGCUUUUUCAACCUACUCUGUCAAGAGUGGGGAACCCAAUGAACCUUCUUCGUGAUUGGGAUAGGGGAUUGUAAUUAUUCCCCUUGAACGAGGAAUUCCCAGUAAGCGCGAGUCAUAAGCUCGCGUUGAUUACGUCCCUGCCCUUUGUACACACCGCCCGUCGCUACUACCGAUUGAAUGUUUU
rnacentral:rRNA from 1 species